GAUGAAGAACGCAGCGAAAUGCGAUAAGUAAUGUGAAUUGCAGAAUUCAGUGAAUCAUCGAAUCUUUGAACGCACAUUGCGCCCCCUGGUAUUCUGGCGGGCAUGCCUGUUCGAGCGUCAUUACAACCCUCAGGCCCCCGGGCCUGGCGUUGGGGAUCGGCGGAGCCCCCCGUGGGCACACGCCGUCCCCCAAAUACAGUGGCGGUCCCGCCGCAGCUUCCAUCGCGUAGUAGCUAACACCUCGCGACUGGAGAGCGGCGCGGCCACGCCGUAAAACACCCAACUCUUCUGAAGUUGACCUCGAAUCAGGUAGGAAUACCCGCUGAACUUAAGCAUAUCAAUAAGCGGAGGA
rnacentral:misc_RNA from 1 species